GGUGAGGUAAUGGCUCACCAAGGCGAUGAUAGGUAGGCGGCCUUAACGGGUGGUCGCCCACACUGGGAUUGAGAUACGGCCCAGACUCCUACGGGAGGCAGCAGUCGAGAAUAGUCUACAAUGGACGAAAGUCUGAUAGUGCGACGCCGCGUGAACGAAGACUCCCUAACAGGGUGUAAAGUUCUUUUAUAUGUGAGCAAUGGUUUAUAUAUUAAUAGUAUAUAUUCAGAGAUAUUAGCAUAUGAAUAAGCAACGGCUAACUCCGUGCCAGCAGCCGCGGUAACACGGGGGUUGUAAGCGUUGUCCGGAAUUACUAGGCGUAAAGGGCAGGUAGGCGGAUCAGUAAGUUUGAUGUCAAAUCCAUCGGCUCACCCGAUGACGGGCAUCAGAUACUGCUGAUCUGGAAUACGGUUGAGGAAGACAGAAUUCCUGGUGUAGCGGUGGAAUGCGCAGAGAUCAGGAGGAAUACCAAAUGCGAAGGCAGUCUUCUAGGCCGUUAUUGACGCUAAACUGCGAAGGUGUGGGGAUCAAACAGGAUUAGAUACCCUGGUAGUCCACACAGUAAACGAUAAUCACUAGGUGUCGGGUUUCAAAUAAGCUCGGU
rnacentral:rRNA from 1 species